UGAGGGAGCCAGUGAAUGAAAGGUGAUUUGUGGAAGAAAAUGAUUUCCUGGCAACCGCGCGAGAUAUCCAGCAGGAGCGCGGGCCACAGACCUAGUCAGUCUCGCGGCAACUACUGAACACACACGCACCUGCUUGCAAACCCGCUCUCUAAGUCACGCUCUCCUGCUCAAAACAGGCAUUCACCAUGAUGACGCGGGCGCUUCUGCUGCUGGCUCUGGCGGCCUUGGCGGCGGCGGGACCCAUGAAGCUCUACGAGAAGACGGAGGCUGAGAAGUUCCAGAAAGUGCUUGUGCCUGUGUCCUCGACGGUGAUUCCCCUGGACGACCUCCCCGUCUACAAGGUGGGCGUUGGGUUCGGCCUCGCCACGCCCGCCCCUGGCAAGUUCAAGCCCGAGGGCGGCACCAAGCUGAUCACUAUCCACAGCGUCAAGAACAAGGCCAAGAAGCCGAAGGACUCCAACGCCGCCCUGGUCGAGGAGGUGACGAAGGAGGAGUACGAGAAACUCGCCGCCCAGUAAACAGCCGUCAGAGAAUUCAUUAACACAAGCCAAGAGAAAAAGAAAUUGAAACAAAAUCUUACCGAUGUAGCGAAUGAUGAAUAGAUCCUGUAUUCUACCAGUUCAUUUUUACUCAAUCCAAGAUUAAUUUAGAAAAUAAAUACUUGAGUGAGAGAAGGUCGUGACGGAAGAUUGUCAAAGGACGUGGCGGGGUGGAGUACCUCCCUCGGGCCGAAGGGGGCCAAAUGGGGCAAGAAGGGAACUAACGCCUACAUUACGUUAUCGGCAGCGAGGCUGGACCUGCACCCUGCUACGGGUCGGCGGUGUUGCGCUGGCCAUGCAGUGUUAAAGGCGCUCUUUUUAGGCCAACUCACACCGCGAUAAACUAUCUGGGAUUCGGGCUUCAGGGGAACAAAUAUUCUAAUAAACGUUUGGAGACUUUUAGUUCAAAAGCCUCUUUAUCGAUUUGAUAAGCCUUGCACUUAACAUAACUAGAGACACAGCAGAAAGUCGUGUUUCGUGACUGUGGUUCUCAUUCUGUUAAUCAGCUUGAUAAUACGUAACCGAAUUUACAUUCCAACAUUCUAAAGGAAACAGAUAAAGCUUUACGAAACCUGUGCCAUUAUGAGAAACUUUACUGUGAUCAAUAAAAAAUUUAUACGAAAUACUAUUUUCCCACUAAUAAACCUAAGAAAUGU